GGAAUUUUGGACAAUGGGCGCAAGCCUGAUCCAGCAAUGCCGCGUGCAGGAUGAAGGCCUUCGGGUUGUAAACUGCUUUUGUACGGAACGAAACGGUCUGCCCUAAUACGGUGGGCUAAUGACGGUACCGUAAGAAUAAGCACCGGCUAACUACGUGCCAGCAGCCGCGGUAAUACGUAGGGUGCGAGCGUUAAUCGGAAUUACUGGGCGUAAAGCGUGCGCAGGCGGUUAUAUAAGACAGAUGUGAAAUCCCCGGGCUCAACCUGGGAACUGCAUUUGUGACUGUAUAGCUAGAGUACGGUAGAGGGGGAUGGAAUUCCGCGUGUAGCAGUGAAAUGCGUAGAUAUGCGGAGGAACACCGAUGGCGAAGGCAAUCCCCUGGACCUGUACUGACGCUCAUGCACGAAAGCGUGGGGAGCAAACAGGAUUAGAUACCCCAG
rnacentral:rRNA from 1 species